ensembl:lncRNA
CGUUCCUUCAAGGCUGAGGGACUUGUGGUUAAAUGAUUACAGAGGAAACAAGCUCUUUCAAAACAAUUCAACAAAUACUGAAGCAAGAUUUACAUGUGAGAUGUGUUUCUUAGCAUGACAAGGAAAGCAAACUGGUUCAGUGAGAAAAGUCCUGAGAAAGCAAAGCUGACAUGGUGGGGAAGGCGGACGACCCCAUCAGGCACUCACACGGAACACACGCCAGUGUUUCUCAACUUUACACGGUGCUGAGCAGCCGUGGGGCAUACAUGUCAACAGCUUUGCCCUUUGCUUGGAAAGCAAGGAUAGAAAUGAAUUGGAGAAAACAAUUGUUUAUGUGGUGGAUAUGUCUCCUUUGCCCACGUCCUGUUCGAUAGUAAUGAAGAUUGCAACACCAAACGACCCCAGAUAUUCUGCUUGGAGUCACCAUUCGUGAUGAUUGCUCAUAGCUAAUCAAAGGAUGUUAUGAAAUGUGAGUCAGACAGCCGCCGGCUUCCUGGAAGUUCCAGAACCUGUAUAUAAAGAGGGAGCUUCCUAGUUGAAACACUGGAGCAGCAGAGAGGUAG